UGGUCUGCGGAGAAGAAGGUCACAGUUGGGGCACAGGAGCCGCCUAGAGACGAGGGCCGGGAAAGCAUGAGCCGGGGCUCACCUGGGAGCGGCAGGUCAAGGCGUUGAAGAGGUCGAAGAGCACGAAACAGCUCCCUGGCCAUGUCAGCACAGGGGCUGUCUGAACCUGCAGGCCAUGGAAAGGUGACGCACAGGAAGAGCCCCUACAGUGA